rnacentral:rRNA from 1 species
AUACGGAGGGUGCAAGCGUUAUCCGGAAUCAUUGGGUUUAAAGGGUCCGUAGGCGGAUUAUUAAGUCAGAGGUGAAAUCCCACAGCUUAACUGUGGAACUGCCUUUGAUACUGGUAGUCUUGAGUUAUGUGGAAGUAGAUAGAAUGUGUAGUGUAGCGGUGAAAUGCAUAGACAUUACACAGAAUACCGAUUGCGAAGGCAGUCUACUACGUAUAUACUGACGCUAAUGGACGAAAGCGUGGGGAGCGAACAGGAUUAGAUACCCUAGUAGUCC